AGCAGUAGCCGCGGUAAUACGUAGGGGGCGAGCGUUGUCCGAAGUUACUGGGCGUAAAGAGCGCGUAGGCUGGUCUUCAAGUGAGUGGUGAAAGGUUCGGGCUCAACCCGGACACUGCCUUUCAUACUGGGGACCUUGAGUGUGGGAGAGGCGAGUGGAAUGGUCGGUGUAGCGGUGAAAUGCGUAGAUAUCGAUCGGAACACCCAUGGCGAAGGCAGCUCGCUGGCCUAACACUGACGCUGAGGCGCGAAAGCGUGGGGAGCAAACAGGAUUAGAUACCCGCGUAGUCCCUGUCUCUUAUAC
rnacentral:rRNA from 1 species